AAAAUAAAAAAAAUAAAUAGAUGUGUGACAUUGGCUUGGGGGUUAGUAGCAAGUGGAAGCUGGAAGGGCCUUGAGACUCGGUGACAGCAAGAAGUACAGGAGGAAAAUUGUCUUGGGGAGUUGGAGAAAAGAGGAGCUAUUUAUGUACUGGUAGAAAAUAGGGAACGUGUUGCCUGUGAUAACAUGGAAGAAAAGGUAGUUAAUGAACGAGUGGAUCCGGCCGAAGCUAUUUCUGGGAAGAAUGUUGAAGGUUACUUAUUCUGUUGGCCAAAGCAAGUCAGAAGGCUCGGAUUCAAAGAUGGGAGAAUGGACCCAUUUCCAAGAAAGAAGUGACAAAGAAUUGUGGCCUUUGCUGAUCUACCAUAAGGGGGGGGGGGGGGUUGAAAGCUCAAGGGUAUUUAUAAUCCUCGUAGGCCGUGUGAGGAAGCACAACCAUAACAUGGAAUUCUGACUUAAGAAGCAUGAAGAAGAAAAGGGAAGUAUAAAAAAUCCGUACACCUUCAAUAGACUGAUGUGUUGAUUUAAUCCUUAAUUAGAGGAGCUCACCAAUUCUGCAAACCCACCCUUUGCUUCUUCUAUUAUCCCUGAAAAUAAUCAAGUGGGCCAGCCAGAAAAGUCACAGGCAUAAAUAGGAAAUUUGCCCCCGCGAAGACAGAACAGACCCAUUUCCUUGCUGUCCUGAUUUUGAAUUCAGCAGCGAGUCUGGUUUUCCCCUUAAACAGAACUAAGAUCCGCAUCCAAGCAAAUUACUCUGCUCUGCUUUAAACAAAAGAAUGUCAUUGUGAAGAUAUAGGCUGUUUCAUUUUUAUCACAGGAAGAGAUGUUAAGGUGCUUUUUUAUGUGUUUCAUGAGACAUGAACUUGUGGCUAAGAAUUGUAUCAUAAUAUAGAUGAAAAGAAAUAUGUCCCAAAGGAUUGUGACUGGGCUCGAUGUGGGGACUCAGCUGAUGAAGAGUUAAAUUUCCAGAAUUUAAAUAUACAUCACCAGAGGUGAUGUGACUUGCCUUCGGUGACACACAGAGGAAACGGUAAGGCCAGGAUAACGCCAAAGCCACGUCAGCGCUGGUCAGGAUGUGAUGCUAAUGGAAAAUAAAGCAGUUUUGAACCACGGGACCCGAGGACGAGCCGGACUGUUACAAGUUCAAGAACUUUCUAGAAGAAUGAAGAAGGAAAAGAGAAUGAGAGAAUUCAAAGAAAACUCUAUUGUCAUGCGGAGGGAAAGCAAAGGCUGCAAAUACCCCACUUUUACUAUAUGCAUCCCUGUAGACCUAUAAUGGCAUCUAAAAAGACCAUAAAAUCUUAGAAUUUGGGAUCCGAGAAGGACUUUUGAAAUUA